rnacentral:rRNA from 1 species
UACGAAGGGAGUUAGCGUUGUUCGGAAUCACUGGGCGUAAAGCGCACGUAGGCGGAUUUGUAAGUCAGGGGUGAAAUCCCGGGGCUCAACCUCGGAACUGCCUUUGAUACUGCAAGUCUCGAGUCCGGAAGAGGUGGGUGGAAUUCCUAGUGUAGAGGUGAAAUUCGUAGAUAUUAGGAAGAACACCGGUGGCGAAGGCGGCUCACUGGCCCGUAACUGACGCUCAGGCGCGAUAGCGUGGGGAUCAAACAGG